CCCGGGCCUUGUACACACCGCCCGUCACACCACGAAAGUCGGCAACACCCGAAGUCAGUGGCCCAACCCGCAAGGGAGGGAGCUGCCGAAGGUGGGGGUUGGUGAUUGGGGUG
rnacentral:rRNA from 1 species